rnacentral:snRNA from 1 species
AUCGCUUCUCGGCCUUUUGGCUAAGAUCAAGUGUAGUAUCUGAUCUCCCCUUCUUUCUUUUUUUAAAAUUUUUUAAUUUGUUCUUUUUAGUUAUAUACGACAAUAAAAUGUAUUUUGACAUAUAAACAUAUGGGGAAUAUCACUUCCCAUUUUUGUGGUUGUGCAUGAUGCAGA